UACGUAGGGUGCGAGCGUUAAUCGGAAUUACUGGGCGUAAAGCGUGCGCAGGCGGUGAGCUGUGUCCGAUGUGAAAGCCCCGGGCUUAACCUGGGAAUGGCAUUGGAAACUGGCUCGCUGGAGUGUGGCAGAGGGGGGUGGAAGUCCGCGUGUAGCAGUGAAAUGCGUAGAGAUGCGGAGGAACACCGAUGGCGAAGGCAGCCCCCUGGGCUAACACUGACGCUCAGGCACGAAAGCGUGGGGAGCAAACAGG
rnacentral:rRNA from 1 species